GUAGGUGAACCUGCGGAAGGAUCAUUAAGAUAAUUUCGGUAAAACAAAAAGGCAAGGGCCAGCCCCACAAAGAAGCGGCGUGAGAGGGGGAAUCGCGAGAUAGAUCCAAUUCUCUCGGCUUCAAAAGAUGUCCCCGGGAGGGGAAACUCUCUUACAAAUAUCUCUUGCAGCCGCCGACGUGUGAUCAGGUUGGCCUCCUUAUACUUUUACAUUUCGAAUAUCUAAAAAAAACACCCCCCACCGUGCACUU
rnacentral:misc_RNA from 1 species